AUAUUUAACCUUGACUGUAAGAUGAAUAUUACAGUAAACAUUGGUCUGUCUUCAUACCUUCUGGUUCCUCCAGGGAGUCUCCACCCACAGAACUUUGAAUUAUAUUAUCCCUGUAUGUAGUUCAAAUCAUGGAAUUAAGAAUGAGAAUCCAGCUAACCAUAUUUGUAGCACUUUAAUUUCAAAUAGCCAAAUAUUUAAACAAUAUUUGGGAAAUCUACAGAAAUAUGUGACUUAUAAUGCAUUUGAACACUGUUUUUACCUGUUUUCACAAUUGAGAAUGCAUUUGAGCAUUGACUUUAUCCAUUUGCCCAAGUGACAUAUGUGAAAGUAGCAGAAAAGCCUUUUGAACAAAACACCAGUUUUCUCACAGCAAAAUUCUGUCUGGGAGCAAGCAUAGCAGUUCUGACAUGACUGACAUCUGUGGAAAGCUAAGGAUGAAAGCCAGAAAGCAGCAGUGUUUUUUUUUCUGCCUCUUCCAGUCUAGUGAGAGGACAUCCCAGAUACCCAGUCAGAGGAGGGCACAUGAUUUGAGAACUGUGGUUUCUGGGUUUUAAUUUGGAGAUCACCAGGACUGUUUGAAAACUCCCCUGCCUUCUUUUUCAGAAUCACAAUCUCCUCAGUAGAAACACAAAUGAAACUGAGAGUGAAGAUAGCAGGGACUUUGCUUCUCAUAAUGAAAUUGGAGCAAACACAAGGAAAAGAUCUAGCUAAGAAGAAUACACUCCUUUAGGAUUAUUCCUUUAGGAAUACCACAAUUCAUACGCUCUUCAUCAAUCCAGUGAAUUUACUCAAGGAAUACUUUUGCUGUACUGCAUUUAUUUCCAGAUUGUCCCAGAAAGGGCUGAUUUUAGACGAGCUCUCCACAGCCCUGAAAGUGUGUCCAGCACUGAUUGCACAUCUCCAAGAUGGACAAAAGGGGCCCAGAGGGACUAAGAUGGAUAGAUCCAUCACCACCUGUGAUAGAUCCAUCACUACGCAGACCCAGGAGUUCUGGCAUGGCAGGAGGAAGGGCAAGGGGUUUUAUGCCACUCUUGUGAUGUUGCAGCAAAGAUCUCAAGUACUUUGCAAGUUAUACAGUUUAUGGCACAGUGGGUCCACAAAAAAUUUUUGGGUGUAAGUUUUCUAACUGUACCUAAAUUACCCUCUUGGUAUCUCUGUCAUUUUAUUGUAUCUUUUGUGAUUCAGUGGGUUAUAGAUAGUGCAAGGACAAGUUUUUACAUGCAAGCUUUUAUAUACCAUUUUCACAGGCUUUUUUUCUAUCCCAUCUGACAGUAAAAAAUAAAUGAUAAAAAUAAAUUACAUGGGCUUUUCAGAAUAGCCAGCAGAGAUUCUUGCUUGACCAAACUGAACUUAGAUGAAAAUUCACGUACUUAUUUUUUUAAACCAUUCCCUAUCUGAAAAGCUAAAACACCCACUUUGAGACACAAAAGCCUUUCAAGCAACAGCAAAUUUUCCAUAUUCUUUUGACAUGGUGCCACUCAGAUAUGCCUUCUCAAACACAAUUACUGACUGAGGGUUUUUUGUAUUAUUUAAUUUUUUUCUGCAUACAUCACAUAACCAAUGCUAAGCACAUUGCUGUUUAUUUUUUUAAGAUGAUAAGUUUUAAACCACUUAGCAGCAUCAUAAAGUCUUGAGUCUGUUGGCCUACACUUACUAACAUUUUGCAAACUGUAAAAAUCACUUAUCUAUCCACAUGAUGGACUUGCUAACAUGGAUAGCAAUUUUUUUCCACUUUUUUGCAAAGUUCAUUAAUUUCUUUAAUCUCUUUCCCCAACUAUAUGCAAAUAGACAAAAAGUAAAGAUGACAGAAGAUUAAUAAAAAGAAAAAAUCAUAACCAGCAUUAGAUGAUUCUGUAUUAUCAUGUUAUCAGGAAAAAAGGCAUUUUUCCUGAAUCAACUGCCACUGUUUCCUGAAGAUAAGUCAAGCUGAAAUCUGGAGUCCUGGCAGAAGGUGUGUCAUGGAUUUUUACCCUCCUGAAGAGAAGCUGUAUUUCUUUCAUUAUGAUCUUUACAUUCAAACAGUAUUUCAAAAGCUUUGCUUUUAGAUUAUCAGCUCAUUUAUUAACAACCUUGAACAACAUCCCCCCCUCAACCUUCUCUUUCCUAUUCAUCAGUGGUAAACCAAAUUAUACUUUCCAAUAUACUUGUAUACUGGAGACAAUGUAAAUAUUCAAACUUCUUUGAAAGUCUAAUUAGUCUUUGUUAUCGAUGAAGAUCAUUAGAAAGAAACCCAUCCUGAUUUGCAAGAUUCAGCCUGAUGCUUUCAGUUUAUAAUAUACAGAAGGGAUGGGAGGGAGUGGGCUCUAAAGCAUUUGAAAGUCAGAGUGAUUUGAUAACAAUCAAAUAACAACCCCUUGAACAAGAGCUGUCAUGGAUAAUUGUGUCUAGAUGGCUAUGCAAACCCUAAGUUUAAUUCACAGACAGUAUCUUUGGAUGCCAUAAGCACUGCAGCAUUUUGAGCUCACUGAAAUGAUGCAAUUUUGGAUGUGUUCUUAUAGUAAAUUCAUUCUAAUGGUGAUUACAAUGUACUUCAAUUUAAUAUUAAUUAAAUAAGAAAAAGCCUGGAGGAACCAUGGUAGUUCAGGAGAAGGAAAGAGUAUAAAGAAAGAGAAAGUCAAUUAGCAUGAAAUUAGCAACACCUAGGAAGUCAAAAUGUUUGCAAGAGAUGCUGAGAAUGAGGAAUCCAUGCUGUAACUUUAGGAUAAAGUGUUUAAUUGCUCAAAUAAUGCAGAGUAAAUGUACAAAUUUAACAAUAACAAAUUGCUAGGUUUAGGUAAUAUCCAUGUGAAACCUCCAUGCCAGCUUAAGUGUGACAUUGUUGAGCUUCUCACUAACAUUUACCCUACCCGUUCAAAGCAGGCUUGGUGCCAAACGAAUUGGAAGCAUUAGCUGGGACAUCAGCUUUGAAAAAAACCAUGAAAACUGCUCUGGGGAAACUACAUUUCAUUUAGUCUUAUUUUAUUUAUCAAGCCAAUUUGUACAAAUUGGAAUAAAUGACAGAAUAGAGAAGCUAUGAAUAUAUAUGAUACAUAGGAGGAGAGUCUGCAAAGAUUUUUUAAAGCAGGACAUGCUCAUGAAGUGUGUUUCUGAAGAAGCUAAUAUGCUUUUGGUAAAGCUGUUUUCUUUAACAGAGAACAUUUGGCUUUAUAAGAAAACAAGAAGUGAGACUAGAAAGAAAACAAUGUAUUAGAAAAUUCCGUUUUCAUUAUGGAGUGAGACAGGAAACAAUGGGAGGUUUGGCCUGACUUCUGUGGGGAUAAGGCUAUAUAAAUUAGGGCUUGUCAGCUGGGAAGAGAAGUAUCUAAAUUUUAUAUCGUCAUGAAUGACAAAGAGGAGCUGAAUAGAGAAUGAUUAAUCAUUCUGUCUUUCUCAGAAAACCAGAACUAAGGGGCACCCAAUCAAAUUACUAAGCAGCAGAUUUAAAGUAGAUAAUAAGAAGUAGUUUUUCUAACAAUACAUUAUUAAAUUGCAGCUCUAAUUGCCACAGGGGGUUGUAAAGCCCUAAUGUUUAAAUGGCUUAAAAAUGGGUCGCAGCAAAUGGAAUAUUAUUACACAUUGACUGCUAUCAAAACUAAAUGAUCCAGAUGUCCUGAUUCAAUGACUGAAAAAGGGAAAAUUUCCCUCAAUAUUUUUCUUGUUUCUGAGAUAUUUUUCUUACAAAGCUACUAUCAGCCCUUGCUAAAGGCAGAAUACUGAAUAGGAGAGGCUUCUGCUGGCAUGAUAGUGGCUCUAUUUUUAUAAAACUAUUUCCAGAGUAAUUUUUAAGACUGGAACUGCACUUUAAAAUAAUGUCAUGAGACUUGGAGUUUGCUGUCCAUGCUCUGACCUUAUCGUCACACAUCUUUUGUAUAGCCCAGACUGGAUUACAGCAAUUAAUUCUUCACUGGCUUGCCUGAAAGGCAGAUCCAGCCUGCAGCUAUUGCAGCAUAAAACAACAAGCUUAUUACCAGAAAAGAGCAGAUGGGAUUUGCGGACUUCCUGCUUCUUUGUUCUCUGCAUCGAUAGCCUAUUAGUAACUACACUGAUUCAGAAAUUCCUACCAUAGGAUACUGUGUAAGUAGCAUUCUAUAGUAGAUUUCUACUGAUCUAGGGUAUAUAAUUUCUCAAGUCCAGGAGUAACAGGUUUCAUGGGCACAUUAGGCUGUUUGGGGUUGGUGUUAGACACAUUUCAUUAAUGCCUUAAAAAAAGCAUGGAACCAUCAAGCUUUCAGUGUGGUUUGUAAAGUGCUGAUAAAGUUCUGGGUUUAUCAAACUCAUCAUCUAUUGCUGGCAUACUGAAUGGAACUCAUUAAUAAUUUAUUAGUAAUGUCAAUAUUGGGAGGAGAGUAAUUUAUGUUUAAAAACCCAAACAAUUAGGUUAACUAUUUCAAAGACUAAGAUGUUCAAAUCAUCUUUGCAGUAUUCAAACUGAUCAACCUGAAAACCACGGGACAGUGUAUUUAUCAACAUACAUUUUAUCUGCCAGCACCACUGUGUGAAGCUAUGUUAUAAGUGGAAUUAUGAAUUAGUGAAAUUACAAGUACACAUAAAAUAGGGCAACAAAUACAACACAGUGAAAUCCAUUUUUACCUUUUACUAAAUCCAUGUGUACAGGAAAUGCCUGAAAAAGACAGUCUCUCACACUGACUGUGAACAUGGUAGCUGAAAUAUGCACAACUUCAAGUUGCUUUCUACCCAUACUACUGGGUUUCUAACUUAAGAAGUCCCAGUCAAGGCGGAGCCAAGCUCUGGACCAUUUUCUUAGUGAUAUGAUGUCAAUGAUCAAUGCAUCUGUCUGGAAAAGAUGUAUUUGUACCCAUGCUAGGGCAUGACGCUAACUCCUAUGCUUUUUCUCUUUGGCAACUGAGUUCUGAAAUGAAUGCCUGCAAGCAACAUUUGUGUAGGUGGCACAAACAGUGGAGGGCAUUUGAAAAUUGCCAACUGUUUAUACUCAUAACUGAGGACAAGCAUUCCCUUGGUGACUCUUAAGAUCCUCUGCUAUGAUGCUACAUGCUCUACCUUGUCUUCAAAUGUGUCUCCUGAUAUAUCUGCAAACAGCUCCAAACUGGUGUCUGCAUCAAGAUAUUUUUAGUCAUGCAAUAGCCAGACCACACUGUAAUGUUCCUGUUCUGACAACUGAAAAUUUCAGAUACCCAUUUACUGGGUUUUUUUGCUGGUCCACUAAAAGACUUUGCAUCCUUGGCUCAAAUUAAAAAAAAAAAAAAAAAAAAAA
rnacentral:lncRNA from 1 species